UACGGAGGGUGCAAGCGUUAUCCGGAUUCACUGGGCGUAAAGGGUGCGUAGGUGGCGAGGUAAGUCUGAUGUGAAAUCUCCGAGCUUAACUCGGAAAUGGCAUUGGAAACUACUUUGCUUGAGGGUUGGAGGGGGGACUGGAAUACUUGGUGUAGCAGUGAAAUGCGUAGAUAUCAAGUGGAACACCAGUGGCGAAGGCGAGUCCCUGGACAACUCCUGACACUGAGGCACGAAAGCUAGGGGAGCAAACAGG
rnacentral:rRNA from 1 species